rnacentral:rRNA from 1 species
GGGUUAGUAGGUUGGUCAUGCCUUGGUAUGUACUGGUCUUAUUGGUUCUCACCUUCUAAAGAACCAUAAUGUCAUUCAUUUGAUGUUAUGGGGAAUUAGGACUGUUACCUUGAAAAAAUUAGAGUGUUUAAAGCAGGCUUACGCUUGAAUACAUUAGCAUGGAAUAAUGAAAUAGGACAUCCGAUUCUAUUUUGUUGGUUUCUAGGAUCGAUGUAAUGAUUAAUAGGGAUAGUUG